rnacentral:rRNA from 1 species
GACGAACCGUGCGAACGUUGUUCGGAAUCACUGGGCUUAAAGGGCGCGUAGGCGGGCUCCCAAGUCUGGGGUGAAAUCUUUCGGCUUAACCGGAAAAGUGCCUCGGAUACUGGGAGCCUUGAGGGAGGCAGGGGCGGAUGGAACUUCCGGUGGAGCGGUGAAAUGCGUUGAUAUCGGAAGGAACGCCGGUGGCGAAAGCGGUUCUCUGGGCCUUACCUGACGCUGAGGAGCGAAAGCGUGGGGAGCGAACAGG